rnacentral:rRNA from 1 species
AAUGCGAUACGCAUUGUGAAUUGCAGAUUUCAGUGAACCAUUAGAUUUCCGAACGCAUAUGGCGCCGUAGGGACUUCCCUGCAGCACGUCUGUUUCAGUGUCUUU